ensembl:misc_RNA
UGUGUAGAAAUGAACUCUCAUCAGAGUUUCAAAGGAAUUAAUGUUUUUUGGUAAAAUGUGCUAAUGUAAAGAGUUAGAAGAUUAGUGAUACAUAAUGAAAGCAAUGCAUUCUUUCGCAUGGAAAUGGGAAUAUAAUAAAUGUCCUGCAGGUGAUUGGCGUUGUAGCAAUUUUAUUGAAGAUUAAAGUUUGAUUGACCUUUGUUAGGGUGAUUAACCCUUCUGAAAUUAAAUUCAGAGCUGAAUUAUCCUGCUCAAUUUAAAUGCAAA